rnacentral:rRNA from 1 species
UUAGUAGAGUUUGAUCUUGGCUCAGGACGAACGCUGGCGGCGUGCCUAAUACAUGCAAGUAGAACGCUGAUGUUUGGUGUUUACACUAGACUGAUGAGUUGCGAACGGGUGAGUAACGCGUAGGUAACCUGCCUCAUAGCGGGGGAUAACUAUUGGAAACGAUAGCUAAUACCGCAUAAGAGUAAUUAACACAUGUUAGUUAUUUAAAAGGAGCAAUUGCUUCACUGUGAGAUGGACCUGCGUUGUAUUAGCUAGUUGGUGAGGUAAAGGCUCACCAAGGCGACGAUACAUAGCCGACCUGAGAGGGUGAUCGGCCACACUGGGACUGAGACACGGCCCAGACUCCUACGGGAGGCAGCAGUAGGGAAUCUUCGGCAAUGGACGGAAGUCUGACCGAGCAACGCCGCGUGAGUGAAGAAGGUUUUCGGAUCGUAAAGCUCUGUUGUUAGAGAAGAACGUUGGUAGGAGUGGAAAAUCUACCAAGUGACGGUAACUAACCAGAAAGGGACGGCUAACUACGUGCCAGCAGACGCGGUAAUACAUCAAAA